UACUAGGACUGAUAAGGAUAAGGGCAAGGUGACGUUUGUGGAGCCAAAGAAGCAGUGGGUUCCAGUUUCAGCAGUGCCUUCUGUGCUUCCCACUACUACUACCGCAGUUGUGACUGAGUCAGAAUCUGCAUCGGCAGUUCCUACCUCUACUCGUAUCACAGUUGAUCCAGAGGUACCUCCGUAUAUUCAUUCAGUUGCUGAGCCUACUCCAAAUGCUCCUAUCGAGGUACCCACUUCUCCUAUUAUUACUUCCAUAGCUCCUAUUCCCACAGCUACUACUGAUGUACCCCCUGAGCCAACACAUAUGAGUUCUCCACCAUUAAAGACACACACAGAUAGUACUCAGUCAGCGCAGGGAUCAGGUACCGGGACAGUUCCUCAAACCACUCUUGCACAGGGGUUGUUGGCUGAGAUCAGCUCAGAGCGAC
rnacentral:lncRNA from 1 species